rnacentral:misc_RNA from 1 species
GAUGAAGAACGUAGCGAAAUGCGAUAAGUAAUGUGAAUUGCAGAAUUCAGUGAAUCAUCGAAUCUUUGAACGCAUCUUGCGCUCCUUGGUAUUCCUUGGAGCAUGCCUGUUUGAGUAUCAUGAGCAAAUCUCAAAGUCAAUUCCUUUUGUUGAUUCAAUUGGUUUUGCUUUGGACUUGGAGGCCUUGCAGAUUUCACAGUCUGCUCCUCUUAAAUGCAUUAGCUGGAUCUCAGUAAUUAUGCUUUGUUCCACUCGGCGUGAUAAGUAUCACUCGCUGAGGACACUGUUAAAAAGGUGGCCAGGAAAAUACUGAUUGAACCGCUUCUAACGGUCUAUUAAGUUAGACAAUUACCCUUAAGUUUGAUCUCAAAUCAGGUAGGACUACCCGCUGAACUUAAGCAUAUCAAUAAGCGGAGGA